rnacentral:rRNA from 1 species
AAGGAUCAUUAUCGAGUUAGGGUCCUCUGGGCCCCAUCUCCAACCCUUGUCUAUUCUACCACGUUGCUUUGGUGGGCCCGUCUUUGGACCGCCGGGGGGAAUCUCGCUCCCUGGCCCGCGCCCGCCGAAAGGCCCCACAAAUCCGUCGAACAGUGAUGUCUGAGUCUCGAGAAUAACAAAAACUUUCAACAACGGAUCUCUUGGUUCUGGCAUCGAUGAAGAACGCAGCGAAAUGCGAUAAGUAAUGCGAAUUGCAGAAUUCCGUGAGUCAUCGAAUCUUUGAACGCACAUUGCGCCCUUUGGUAUUCCGAAGGGCAUGCCUGUUCGAGCGUCAUUAUCACCCCUCAAGCCCGGCUUGCAGUUGGGUCUCACCGCGGCGGGUCCGCGGUGGAUCCAAAAGAUAAUGGCGGUGCCCGUGGGGCCCUGGACGCAACGAGCUUUCCAGCACGCGUCCGCGCGGUCUCCCGGCGGCGCCUCAACCACAUCUGUCCCGCAGAUUGACCUCGGAUCAGGUAGGGAUACCCGCUGAACUUAA